UUACAUCCAUCUGUUUCCAUCCCAGAACAGGACAUAGCUUGUGAAGAAACUAAUAAUGAUAAUAAUAACAACAAUACAAGAAGCGUUCUUUGCCUUCAAUUGGAAGCGAAGGAUUAACUAGAGAUACACAAUGUUACCACGGGAAAUAUCGUACCAGCUAGAGAUUUGACAAACUUUCUUCCAAUAUUAUAGUACGUUCGUAUAACAUUCAAAAGUAAUAUUACCAUAGUGUUUACAAAACAAUAAAAUGUAACAUCUGUAUUGCUAACGUUUCGUUUUUUUUAUUACGUUUUGAACAUUCAGAGAAAACUCAAAUAACAUUUUCAAAAUUUUUUGGGAACGUCACAAAAACGUGUCAUUUGGUUAACGAGGAUAUUAAUGGAUGUGCGCAGUCCAGCUGACAGGGAACGUGUUCAGAUUCUUGGCUUCUGUUCUGACAAGGUUCUCUCAAAGUUAGAAACAAGCGUUGCUCCAGGUACAUUAACAGAAUGAUUGUUCGAAGUUAUCUGGUCUUUAAUAAUGCUCUCAAAACGUGAGCAUAAAAAUAUUAUUUAUACAUCAUUCAUGGAGUUUUUUUUUUUUAACCUCUAAAAAAUUUGUCUGGCAUUUUUUAAAUGGUAUACUACUUUUUUCUGAAUGUUCAGGGAACAUUCAAAAGUAACAUUCCUAUUAUCUUUGCAAAAUGAUACUGUAACAUUCUAUUAACAUAUAUUAUUAUUAUUAUUAUUAUUAAUAUAAUAGGACAUUUUAAACAUUCAGAUAACCUUCAGGAAUAAUGAUUUCAUAACAACGAGAACGUUAUGAAAAUGUUCCUGAAACAUAUUUUUGUUAGCUACAACAGAAAUGCUAACAAUUAUUUCAAAAGUUCCAUUGGACUACAGUGAUAUUUUUUUUUAUAUUUUUGUACCCUAUUAAUAUACUUUAGAGAACCAUGUAAAUACCAUGGUAAAUUAAUUUAAGGACUAUUAUUUUUCUUUUGAUGUCAUUACCAUGGAAAUGCUAAAGUACUGCUUACACACAACAGUAUAUCAUAUUUCUUGAAAUAACAAGAUAUAUGAAUAAUAAUGGUAUAUAUAAAAGUAUGUACCAUUGCAUUAGUACAGUAGCCCACCUGACAUCAUUGGUAUAUUUUGUUUGUUGCAGCUAACCAAAGUAUCAUAAUCAAAUUUCAUUUAUAUGUUUUUUCCAUUCAUUUAUUUUAUGUAAGUCAUAGUAUAAAAAUGCACAUGCUUCAUCUCACUGAUAUUACAUGAGCGGUGCUCGGUCCUCACAUGAUCAGUGAUUGGUUAAUUGUGUUCACGUGUGCGAGUGCUGACUGCAUUAGGCUAGACAGGACCUUGUGCAAGUUAUUGUCUCGUUUAAUAGAUUGAGUGGCAGGGGUCAAAAUCACAGUGGAUUUCUGCAUCACAUGCCAAAACAGAAACGGACCACAGAAGCAUGUUCACCAUAAUGAGCAUAAAAAUACUCACAUCUCGAUGUGACCCAAUAAAGCAAAAUACAACAGUA